UGCUAUUUAUUCCAUUACAUCUUCAGCUUCAUUUCCUUCCUUUUCAGCAUCUGCAGUAGUUGUUGCUUCUUUCUCAACUUUUUUUUCUUCCUCAACUUUUUUUUUCUUCACCUUCAACAACUGCUUCUUUCUCACCUUCCUUUUCUUCCUCGGGAUGGAUGAUUUUUUUACCCAUUUUCAACACAAUCUACACCUACAAAAUAAAUCUCCCAUUCUCAGUUCAUAGACCAUAAGUCUAUCAACAGAAAUAAGUCAAUGCUCAAAUGAAAACCCCCAAAAAAUCAAAGAAAUACCCCACCAAAAUCCAACAUGCAGUAUCAAAAUCAAACUAUUGCACCUAAUCAAACUAAUUAGCUAUUAAUCUUUUAUUUUUCACUAUUUCAGCCAUCAUAUUUUAAAAGAAUUUCAUACGUCUAAAAAUUGAUUUCAAUAUAGGGCAUUCUCAUUUCAUAAACCAGGGGUCUACGGACAGAAACAGGUCACUGUUCGAAUCAAAAUGCCAAAAUAGCUCUUCCACCAUCAAACAGUUCACUACACACAUCAAUAACUGAACCAAAAUCCAACAUGCAAUAUCAAAACAGAACAAUUGCUAAAAAUCAAACUAGUGCACCUAAUCAAACUAAUUAGCUAUUAAUAUUUCAAUUUCCACUAUUUCAACAACUAUAUUUCAAAAGAAUUUCAUACGUCUAAAAAUUGAUUUUAAUCUAGGGCAUUCUGAUUUCAUAGACCACGGGUCGAUUUCAUAAACCAUGAGUCUAUGGACAGAAACAGGUCAUUGUUCGAAUCAAACUGCCAAAAUAACUCUUCAAAUAAUGAUUAUCCCACCAUUCAACACUUCUUUGCUAAAUAAAAUGAAACUAAACCAAAACUCCUUAAUUAACCAAAUUCGAAAAAAAAAUUCCUACAUCACUACGAAUCGAUUAGCAAAGAAACUUGUUUAAAUUGAUCUACAAAUGAUCGAAAUAUGAUUUUAACUAACCUUAUGAAGCAACAACUAGCUCUUAGCACCUGCAGAAGAAGGAAAAAUGAAAAUGGCAUUUGGAUAGAAGAGUUCUAGAAAGCGGGAGUUAGGAGAUAAUUUAAGAGGAGAGAGAAGGUUUUUUUCAUAUUGGAAUAAGUGGAUGGGUGUUAGUGUAUUAUGUUGAAAUUGUAAAGUUAGAAAAAUGAUACAAUGGUCUCUUGGCCCACAUGUGGGCCUACUUUUUUCAACUUUUACACAAUUUUUUCACUCUAAUCCUAAAAAAUAAUUCAAAACAAAUUUAGUGUACCUUUGGCAAAAUAGUUUUGAGAAAGGUAACUUUUUCUUAUUUUUUUCGAGUUACAGAGAGGGAGAGAGUAACAGAGGGAGAGAUAUUUGUAAAGGAGAGAAGAGAACUUAAGUGAUAUUGAGGGAGAGAUCGUGAGGGAGAGAAAUAGGAGAGAUCAAGAGAGGUAAAAGAGCAGCGAACAGAGGUUGGAUCGGAAAAUAGUGGGGAAAAUCUAGCCAGCUCGCCAAAAAUAUCCUUUCACAGGCGAAACCCAGCCCAGAGACUCUAUUCCGUUGACUGUUGGGUCAGUCGAAGCUCCGUUGAGCUGCAAACGGAGACCCAGUCAUGAUUCCAUUGAAAUUUGGUUACGGUUAGUUCAAGAAUCUGAGAGUUUGGGGUUCGUUUCAAGGUUCUCAUUUCGGUAUUAAAUAUGUCCCGUUUGUAUUUUUGAUAUCGAGUUGGAGUUAUUCGUGACUGAGGUUCAAAUCAAGGUAUUUUGGACAUGGAUUCUACCAGGUUAAUCAAAAUAAUACAUCGAUUUUGAAAGAGGCAUUGAGGUUUAAUUCUAUCUUCUCUCCCUUUAAUUUUUACGUGAAUGUGAAUGAUUUAUUGUUUGACACGUUUGAAUCUUUAUUUUAUGAUUGGUUGAUGUUGGAUUUGAAUAUGAAAACUUGGAUUGGUAGUCGAAGAAUUGAUUAAUUAUUAUGAGAAUAAAUGCGGAGAGGGAUUGAUCUCGAUAAGGCGAACUUGGGUUAAUUUUUGGUUCAUCGAUUGAACUGAUUUAAAAUAUUUAUUAAUUUCCUUAAAUGCAGUAGUAUCAUGAUUAAGUCGUUAAAUGAAUAGGCAAAGUUUAGGUUCGGGUAGGCAAAUUCAGGACUCGUGAAAUAUUGAAUACUUGAAAUAUGUGUUGAUGACUUGGUUUUAUUACUUUUGGUUCAAAUGUAUCAUUUAGUCGGGGAAUGCCCCAAGAUAUCUGUGUUUAUUCAUCGGAUAAUGCCCUGAAGUAUUUUGUACUCGGAGGAUAUCCGUGACGAAGGCCCGAGAUAUCGGGUAAAGCAUUGGAGCAUAUUUAGGAUUAGUGUAGGUUAGCGUAGGUUUGUAUUUUUUGCAUUUUUCUAUUUUGGACUGUAUAAUCGGACUGGACAUUAUAUUUUUAGGAUUUGUUAUGUUUGUGUUUGUUUGAUUGAUUGUUGUGUGUUUAUGUGGUUUAUACACUCUUAAUAUCAAAUUAGUCGAUAAACUCCACCGAGCGACCGUGGUCAAACCACGGGACCGAGAGACACCUAACACCUUCCCCUCGAUCAACAAAAUUCCUAAAUCGAAAUCUUUAUUCGCAAACCAGUUUUAAAGAGUCAAACCAUUUUGAAAAGAACUUUCUAAAGGUGACUUGGCACACUAGAUUAUGCCAAGACUUGAAUUUAAUUGAAACAACAUGAAUCCUUUUUCGAAAUAAAUCUUUAUUUUGUCACGUUUUUAAUAAAAACCCUUUCGAACUUUAAAAAUUCAAUCUUUUUGGUUAAAAAAGGGGUGUGAUAGCUCUGGCGACUCUACUGGGGACUUUUUAGAAUUCGAGCUUAUUUUUGGAGUUGUAUCGGCUUAGUUUGAUAUUAUCGGUGUAUAAACACUGUUUGUGUUAUCGUUUGUGUUUAUUUUAUUAUUUUUGAGUACUUACGUGCUCUUUGUUUACAGUCUUUCUUUAUGGGUUACCGCUUUAUAUCUGACAUCAUUUGCAUAACCCGAGUCGAUUCUUUCUGCAACAAGUCCCGGAGUGCAUGUCGUGUACACGAACUCUAGUUGAGUCACCCUUAUUUUAGGAAGGGGAGCCAUCGGACAUAUGGAGUAGGUGGAAAGCUUUCACAGCCACUAUCGAUGAUACGCUUCCCCGAACAGCCUUGUUAGUGGACCCCAACAUAGGUCAGCCUUUAGGUCAUGCUUAUCAGUUAUCUGCAUCAUAUUGAGAUUGAUACGGGGACGACAACAAAAACACAAGAAAGGCACAAAACAGUCCACUAAGGAGAAAACAGAUUAUAUAUGUUGCAUCAGAUUACAAAUCUGUGACAACAAAUAUUCCAUUUGCGCAACAGAUCGACAAUCUGUUGCAUCAGAUAGUAUAUUUGUUGCAAAUUUCCCCAAACUAGAUUAAAACAAUAAGAAGAAGAAACAAGAACAAUAGGAAGAACAAUACACAUUUUUACUAACACAAGAGCAAAAGAUUACAAGGACACAAACUAUUAAACGAUUACAAGAAAAGGAAACAAGGAAUAGAUAGAUAGACUACACGAAAAUGUAAUCUUAAAAACCCAAGAGCCUAUUCCACUCUUGGAACUUUAACACUACACACAACGAUUCAUCUAUCUCUUACGUGACACGAGAUCAGAUUCCACCUCUCAGGCGCUAACAUUUCCAAGCAAACACAAUCACUAGUAAUUCCACACUAGAUCUUGCCCUAGUUUCGGUUGGUGGCUUUUCCAAACCCUAACUAUGGUGUUUCAAGUCUUACAAGACUUACAAAUAUCAUCCAAAAACCUCAACUAACAAAAUAUAAUUUAAAAUAACCAAAAGACCCUUCAAAGAGUGGGCACCCAUCUAGUGUAAUUUAUGGGCUGAUUUAGGUGCAUUUUGAGCCUCUUUUAUACUUCAAUUGCACGUGUCAUGGCUUGGGUCCAACACGCACUCUCCUAAGUCCAUAUCCAUGAUUAUUUCCAUAUCAGAGAUCUAGCGGGACCUACUUGGUCCUUUGUAGGAGACUUACCUCUAAAGCAUUCCUACGUGCUAAUUAUUGUAUCUUUGAGGGUAACAAGGUCAUUUGACGAACUAAUUUGGAAAAAUCCUAUAUGUGCUAGAAUUAAAGAAAGUGUGUAGGCAAGAAAAAAAUGAAAAAGAAAAAAAAAAAGAAAAAUCGAGUGUGUAGGCAAGGAAAAAUAGAAGAAAGAGAAGAAAAAGAAAGAAAAAGUGAGUAAAAAAAAAGAGAGUUUCGUAGUUUUUAGAUUUCUUUAUGGCUUUUAUUUUCCACAAUUCAAAAAUUCAAAAAGAUUUUUUACUUUUUGUAUUCAUUUGUCAAAAACAAAAAUAUCAAAAAGAUUUCCUUUGUUUCUUUUAGCAAGUAUCUAUAAUUCAAGAAUUUCAAAAAGAUUUUUUUCAAUAGGAACUUUUUAUAAAAGAAAAAUUCAAAAAAGAUGGUAGAAGUUUUGUAUGUUUCAUAUAGGAAAAUACCAAACAAAAAAAAAGAUUUUUAUUUCAUAGUUGUUGGUGUCAUUUUUAUGUGAUGUGUCAAACUGAAAACAUAAAAAGAUUUUAUUUACAUUGUUCAUCGUUUGUCUUUGGUCGUGUCUCUCAAGUCAGGGUUCAAUUCGUUAUUUAAUCUUAAAUUGUCCAAUCUGGACGAACUACGCACCCCUGAUUCUUCUCUCUCGGAGUGAGAUACGUAGGCAGCCUAUUGUUGAUUCGGGGAUCUUAUUUCAAAAAAUUCAAAAAGAUUUUUCUUCACUCUUUUUUAGAGUAGGUGUCAUAUACAUUUUUAAAAGAAAACCUACAAAAGAUUUUCCUUUAAUAGUUUCAAGUUUUAUUUUCAUAUGAAAUUCAAAAUCUAAAACCCAAAAAGAUUUUUCUUUGUUAAUCAUAAGUUUCAUUUUGUAUAGGGAUGUCAAAGCUGAAAAUUCGAAAAGAUUUUCAUCAAUUCUUUCAAAAAAAAUUUAUUUUCUUUUCUUUUUAAAGUUUCAAGAAAAAGAAAAAACUCCCUUCUUACUCACAAUUGCGCUCACCAACUCCCCAAAUUCAUCCUUCGACUCCACAAACCUACCAAAGCCUUUCUAGGCCCGAUUUUGGAUCUAAGCCAAACAAUGAAAUCAGGCAGAAAUCAAGGGAUAGCUUCACACUAAUUAGAGAAUUGUAUGCCAGCUUAUAUUAGAGAUUGGUACAAUGGGGCAUAAUCACUCAUUUCCUUAGGUACACUCUUAAUCGUCAUUCAAGAAAUUUGAUCCUAAUGCACGAUGUGCAUAUCAUUCUGAUGCCCAGGGUUAUAGUAUUGAAGAUUGUAGAGAUUUGAAAAGAGAAAUUGAAAAAAUAAUUCAAGAUAGAUCAAUUAUGGUGUGGAACAUUGACAGUGAAGGAAGCUCUAGUCAUGCUGAUUUGCAAACCAGUGGCUAAGUUGUCAGGUUGAGCAAUUGAGGAGUCACCCCCCUCCUACUAGGAAAAGGUCUGGUAGUUUAUUUUUUUUUUCUAUUUUCUGAAUUAUUUCAGGGUUUUAGUUUGGGAUCUAUCUUGUUUUGUCCCUUUGUCAUUUAUGUUCAACCCCUUCUAUCUUUUAUUUAAACUAAAUGAAGUGUCCCUUUCCCUUUAUGUUUUAAAUAUGUGUUGUUUGUUUUCUUUAUACAGUACAUUUUAUGUUGAUUCUAGUGAUAUGACAUGCUAGCAAAAUUUUCAACUAGAUCUUAAAAUCCAGUUUUAUCAUAAAACAUUGAGUCAGAGGAUUAAAGUUAGAAAAAGAGAGCAUCUGAGAAAAUAGAUAGAGUGUUGAGGCAUUUGGUGAUCAAGUUGACGCCUUCUUUAAAAAUCAAGGCAACUAUUUUGAUAAUCAUAAGAAUAACUUGGUCAUCAAAUGAAAUGGAUAUCUCAAUUAGGUUAAAUAGUGAAUGUGUGAUCCUAUGUCAAAAGGAACAGAAAGAAAAUCAUCUCCAAAAUCAUGAGUUAUUCAAUGUGAGGAAUGUACAACAAAAGUAGAGUUGUAUGCUAGAAAAGCACAGAAGAAGUAGUGACACACAGACUCAGUCAAAGCUAAUGUUGUAAAAGAUGUCACAAAUGAUCUUCAUCUUUCACUUUCAUAUUGCCUCAUAUGUACUUGUAUUGUCAAGGAUUGAUAUAACAAAGGCAUUUCAUUUUUCUCUUGUAGACACCUAGUUUUGUCUGUCCCGAAGUCUAAUUUUAUUCAUUUUUAGUUCACCUUACCAUAUGUCCAACCCCAUAUAAUUAUAUCCCACAAAAAUAUAAAAAUAAACAAAAAACAAUACCUCUAACUAAUUUAUCUUAUCCUAACAACCUACCCAAUAAAAAGCUUCCACCUCCCUACCCACUCACAUUUUUUAUCCUUUGGAGAAGAAAACAACAAAAAAGAGAGGGACCCCAUUUUUCUUUCUUGUUUUUUCUCACCCACUUCAUCUUCAAUACUGACCUCACACACAAACACCCACUAGACGCACACACUCACCAUCUUUUUCGAUUAACACACAUACACUCAUGAAAAAUAGAUUGAGGGAGAGAGGGAAAUAAUGAUUGAGAACCAUUAAAAAUGGAUGAAAGAUAGAGGGAUUCGAACGAAAAGGGUAGUGAGAGCUGAGAGAACAUGAGUUUCGUGGUUUGGUUACUGCUCCAGCGACAGAUUCGUCGGGAACGCAUCUGAGCUAUCACAAAUCCGUUCAAAAAUCCAUAGGAUACAUCCUAACUAGUAUUUCCUUGUCGUUUGGUCAUCGCCGGAGUUGACCGGAGCUGAGGCAACGCAAAACCUUCGUGCGAACCUCGAUCUUCUUUCAAUUCCAUCCAAGCUUGUCGGAUUCUGGUUUGGGUUCUCUUAUUCUCACGAUUGUCAGUUCGAGGUGGGGGUGGGUCCUUCGAAAUCCGAUCCGAAUCUCCUCAUUUUGCUAUUCUCAGUUUUGAUUUGGAAUGGUUCGUCACUGUUGAGGCUUGUCAGAGCUUCGUUUGAAGCCAUGACAGUCCAUCCCAAAGACCAUAACAUCGUUUGUCGGUGAAACUCGUAACUCCAUUGACGUGAAUGAUUUUGGGUUCGAUCGAGUUGGAGGGUUCAUGUUGAAUUCGUUGGUUGAGGUUUGAUCCGAGGUUCCAGUGCAAAUUUUAUCUUAUUUAAUCGAAUAAUACUUGAAAACGGCAUUGAGGUCCAAUUCUACUCCUCUUUUUUAUUUCGUCAUUUGUCAUGUUCAAUGCUUUGAAUUGGACAAAGUGUGUUGGUUGAUCAGUAAUGAUAUGAAUUGUUGUUUGUUUUGAUUCGGUGCUUUAUUUCUUUAAUUAUGGAUUGAUUAUGAAUUGUGUGAUGAAAUAAUAUCUCAUGAAGGAUUAAAAUUGAUAGUUGGGAGUGGAACUGAGAAGUUGAUUAAAAGGGAUUAAUUUAGACUAACUUUGAUUUAUUAUUGCUUUGUUUAAUUCAAAAAGCAUGAAUAUUGUCGAAAUGUGAUAGUAUCAUGAUAGUCGGAUAGGCAAAUAUAGAUUCGGGUAAGCAAAUUUAGAACUUGUGUUUUGGUUGAAUGUUUGAAUAUGCGUGCGAAUAUUUAUUUCUAGUUUAUCGUAUUUAAUUCGAAUGUAUUCGUUUGGCUAGAGAAUGCCCCGAGGUUUCAUGUAUUUAUUCACCGGGGAAUGCCCCGAGGUUUCAUGUAUUUAUUCACCGGGGAAUGCCCCGAGGUUUCAUGUAUUUAUUCAUCGGAGAAUGCGCCGAUGUAUUAUGUCUUUGAAGAAGGUUCGUGAUCAAGGCCCGAGGCAUCGGGUGAAGCAUUGGAGCUUAGUCUAGGACUAGCUUAGAAUAGGAUUUAUAUUUUUCGCAUUUUUCUAUUUUUGGAUUGUAAUAAUUGGACUGAACACUAUAAUUUUGGAUUUGUUUGUUUGUUUGUUUGUUUGAUUGAUUAGUUUGUAUGUUUUUAUGUGGUUUAUACACUCUUAGUGUCGAAUUAGCCGAUAUGUUCCACCAAGCAACCGUGGUCGAACCACGGGAUCGAGGGGUGCCUAACACCUUCCCCUCGGUCAACAGAAUUCCUUAGCUGGAAUCUCUGUUCGCAAACCAGUUUAAAGAGUCAAAUGGUUUUGAAAAGGAUUUUCCAAUGGUGACUUGGCACACCAGAUUAUUCCAAGUGGCGACUCUGAUUUCAAAUGUAAAAACAAUCCUUCUUCGAAACAAAUCGUUUUCUUUUGUGACUUAAUAAUAAAAACCCUUUCGAACCCAAAACGAAUCUUUUUCGGUUAAAAAAAAGGGGUGUGACAGCUAUGGCGACUCUGCUGGGGAUCUUUUCAGAAUUUGGUCUUAUUUUUGGAGUCAUAUCGGCUUUGUUUGGUAUUAUGGGUGUAUAAACAUUGUUUGUGAUUAUUGUUAUCACUAUUGUGCGUUUUCGUGCUCUUUGUGUACAGUAUUUAUCCUAUAUGUUACCGCUUUUAUAUUUGGCAUCAUGUGUCUACCCUCAGGCCUUUUUUCUGCAACAAGUCCAUAGUACACGUGUUGUACACAACCUCUAGUUGAGUCACCCUUAUUUUAGGGGGGGGCCGUCGGUGUUAUGGAGUAGGUGGAAAGCAAAGCAGCCACUAUCAACCAUACGCUCCCCUGAACAGCCUUGUUAGUAAACCACAACGUAGGUCAGCCUUUAGGUAAUGCUUAUGUGCAUCAUACUGAGACCUAGCGGGACCCACAUGACCUUUUGUAGGAGACUCACCUCUAAAGCAUCUCUACGUGCUAACUGUUGCAUCUUUAAGGGUAACAUGAUCAUUUAACGGACUGAUUUUAAAAAAAAAUAUUUGUUAGGAGUAAGGUGCAUAGGCAAAAAACGAAAAAAGAAAAAAAGAAGAAAAAAAUAGAAAAAGCGAGUCGAAAAGAAUGAAUCAAAAAAGAGUUUCGUAGUUUUUAGAGUUUUUUAUGGCUUUUAUUUUUCACAAUUUCAAAAUUCAAAAGGACUUUUUUACCUUUCGCACUCAUUUUCUCAAAAACAUCAAAAAGAUUUUCCUUUACCUCGUUUAGCAUGCAUUCACAAUUUGAAAACUUCAAAAAGAUUUUUUUCAUUCAUAGGAUGUGUUUAUAAAAGAAAAAUGCAAAAAAAAAAAAAGAUGUUAGAAAUCUUUUACAUUUCGUAUAACGAAAAUACCAAAAAGAUUUUUCUUUCAUAGUUGUUGAUGUCAUUUUUCUGUGAAGUAUCAAAAUGAAAACUCAAAAGAUUUUAUUAACAUGUUCAUCGUCUAUCUUUGGUUGUAUCUCUUAAGUCAGGGUCUAGCCUGUUAUUUAAUAAUUAAUUGUCCAAUCUGGUGAACUACGCACCCCUGAUUCUCCUCUUUCGGGAGUGAGAUACAUAAGCAGCCUAUUGUUGGUUCAGGAAUCUUAUUUAAAAAAUUUAAAAAGAUUUUCUUCACUCUUUAUUCAUAGUAGGUGUUUCAUACAUAUCUUGAAAAGAAAAAUACAAAAAAUAAAAGAAAAAAAAAGAUUUUCCUCAAUAGUCGUAGGUUUCAUUUUUGGUUGAUCUUAUUUAAAAAAUUCAAAAAGAUUUUCUUCACUCUUUAUUUAGAGUAGGUGCUUCAUACAUAUCUUGAAAAGAAAAAUACAAAAAAAAAAUGGAAAAAAAAAAGAUUUUCCUCAAUAGUCGUAGGUUUCAUUUUUGGUUGAUCUUAUUUCAAAAAUUCAAAAAGAUUUUCUUCACUCUUUAUUUAGAGUAAGUGUUUCAUAUACAUCUUUAAAAGAAAACUACACAAAGAUUUUUCUUUAAUAGGUUCAAGUUUCGUUUUCAUAUGAAAUUCAAAAUUGAAAAUCCAAAAAGAUUUUUCUUUGGUAAUCAUAGGUUUCAUUUUGUGUAGGAAUUUAAAACGUGAAAAUACAAAAAGAGUCUAUUCUUUUGAUAAUUUGUUAUUUUCUUCUCUUUUUAAAGUUACAAGAAAAGAAAAAAAGAAGGGAAAAAGUUUAAUUGGCCAUUUUGGCAAAACUUCACGAACUACGCACACCUGAUUCUCUUUUUUCGGGGGUGAGAUAUGUAGGAGGCCAUCUUGGGUUCGGUGAUCUUUUCUAAAAGAAAAAAGGUUUUGAAGAAAAAUGUUGAACUCUAACAUAUUUGUUGCCUCUUGUUCAGUUAGUUUAAGGUGGUUGGUUUGUGGCUUCCUGACUGGUCCUCCACAUCACAUCAAAUCCAAGGAAGGGUUAGUUGUGUCUAACAAGGAUAAAGAGAGUGGCAUCAUGGAUGAAACAAAGAGUCAGGAAAUUGAGAGUUUAAAGGAAGAGAAUUAGAGACUGAGACAACAAAUUAUGGAAAUGUACCGAGCUUGGGCCAGUGGGCUGCCUCCACCUCCAUUCCCCACUUUUCUCCCUGCAAAUACCUUGAGUCUUCCACCAAAAUCGCAAAGUCAGCUUCUUACUGUUGUUGAUACAUCACAGCAUGCCGUAGAAUCCAUUUCACGUCAAAUGCACCCCAAUUCUUCCACCUCUCAUUCUUUAGCUCCUCAGUAUAAUCCUACCACAUUCAUAGCAUAACAUAUCAUCUGUACUUUUAUUGCUUAACCUUCUACUGAGGCUUCCACAUUGCCUAUCAAUCCAACAGUUGUGCUGCCCCAAUCUGCUAGUGGACCCAUGUUCAAGGCUCUUGAUGAUCAUUGCUAUACUCUUGAGCCUACAGUUAAGUUAAGAGGAACGCCAAAAUUUCUUACCAAGAAGCCUAGCAUACCAGAAAAAUCAGAGAAAAUAGUGGGGAAAGUGAAGAGUGUAGAAAAUGAUAUGGAAAGUUUCCUGGGACUUGUGGGUAAAGAAGAUGUUUCAUAUAAAUACUGGGGCAUGUCUUCAAGUAUCAACCUUUUUCAAAGCUUUGAGAUAUCGAAAUUUGAGAAACAUGAUGCGCAGAAGGAUUUUGUGAAACAUUUGGGACGAUAUUGCAAUCAAUCCAGGGAAACUGAAGAAAAGAAGAAGGGAAGCACACCUAUUGUCGUGCCAGGGCCAAAGCAGAGUUUGAGAGGUCCAACUAACCAAUACUGUCAACCUCAAUCCCGAGCUUACAUAUCAAAUCCACUUAUUCAUCUACAACAAGGUGCCUCUUUUCAAAAUACAAGGAGUUUCAUUCCAUUUUUUCAAUGUCUUUUGAAUAAUGCACAAUUGUUUACCCAUCCGUCUUCUUAUCCAUAAUGGUAUGCACCUGUCCCUCAACAUCAUCCUCAACCCCCACCAAUUUACCAAGGAACCUCUAAAUCCACAUUUCAUCCAAGGCCAGAGUUUGCAAUGAUGAGGAAGGAAAAGGAUAAUUUUACUCCCAUUGGAGAGUCGUAUGUAAGUUUAUUCCAGAGAUUGGUACAACAGGGAAUGAUCACUCCUCUCCUUGGGUAUACUCCUGACCCACAUUCAAGAAGUUUUGAUCCUAAUGUACGAUGUACAUAUCAUUCUGAUGUUCAGGGUCACAGUAUUGAAGAUUGUCGUGCUUUAAAAAGAGAAAUUGAAAAGAUGAUUCAAGAUAAAUCAAUCAUGGUGCAGAACAUUGACAGUGAGGAAAGCUCUAGUCAUGCUGAUAUGCAAACCAGUGGCUAAGAUGUCAGGCUGAACAAUUGAGAAGUCACCCCUCUCCUUAGUAGGAAGGGGUUUGGUAGCUUGUUUUGUUUCAUUUUCUAUUCUCUAAAUUAUUUCAGGGUUGUAGUUCGGGAUCUAUCUUGUUUUGUCCUUUUGUUGUUUAUGUUCAAACCCUUCUAUCUUUUGUUUUGACUAAAUGAAGUGUCUCAUUUUCCUUUGUGUUUUAAAUAUAUGUUGUUUGUUUGUUUUCUUUACAUAGUACAUUUUGUGUUAACUCUAGUAAUAUGACAUGCUAGUAAAAUUUUUAGCCAGAUCUUAAAAUCCAGUUUAAGCAUGAACAUUGAAUNNNNNNNNNNNNNNNNNNNNNNNNNNNNNNNNNNNNNNNNNNNNNNNNNNNNNNNNNNNNNNNNNNNNNNNNNNNNNNNNNNNNNNNNNNNNNNNNNUAUAUCAAGAGAAACAAGAAGAUAAGCAGCUCCACGAAAGCAUGAGUCAUUUGAUGUGAGGAAUGUAUAUAUCAAGAGAAACAAGAAGAUAAGCAGCUCUACGAAAGCAUGAGUCAUUUGAUGUGAGGAAUGUACAACAAAGGUGGAGUUUACAGAAGAAGUAGUGACGCACAAACUCAAUCUGCUUAAAAAGAUGUCGCAAAUGAUCUUCAUCUCUCACUUCCAAUUGCAUGUUAUGUACUUCCAUUCUCAAGGAUUGAUAUGAUGAAGGCAUUUCAUUCUGCUAUCCAAACAUUGUGUCAUCCUUUGUUUACACCAUUUGAGUCUUAGUGUUAUUUUCUUUCAUACCCCUCUUUUGGAAUCAAGAUAGAGUAACCAAAGUUUAAAGAAUAGUGUCAAGUAAAAAGAUAAAGUCAAAAGUUGCAAAAAAGAGACAAAAAUGUUUCAAAAAAAAGAGUGUCAGGAAAAAUAGAGUUAGAAAAAAAGAAUCGCAAAGUGAAAAGAGCGAAUAAAAGAAAAAUAAAAAAGAAGAAAAGUCAGAUCAAAGCAAAAGGACAAGCUGCCAGAACUACGCAUGACCUGAUUCUCCUCUUUUGGGGGUGAGAUACGUAGGCUGCCCUACUAAGGGCUCGGUCCAACCAAAUAAAUAAUUUAGAAUCAUCCGAUCAAAAGAAACUGGGGCAUGAGUUAAUCCUCAUUUGUUGAGUCGAUUCCAAAAGUUGUAAGUUCUAACUCACUUCAUGUGUCGUUUGGGCCUCAUGCCAUCCUUUCUUUCUAAUCCUAUCCAAAAGCUAAGUUACAACCAAAGAAAGACCUUCAGAUCAAUCUUUAAGAAUGUUAAGGCUAAGCAUGCAAUGGAUAUGAUGAUGCAUUUUGGGAACUACUUGUCUUCCUCAGCAUAAGGAAUCAAGAGAGAAAUGAAAUAUGAGAGAGUCUUAUUGGUGAAAACCCUCACAGGCACCAUAAGACGAUAGUAAGUUGAGAGAGAUUAAAAUGAGAGAGUCUUAUUGGUGAAAAUCCUCACGGGCACCGUGAGACGAUUGUGAGUUGGGAGAAAUAAGAAUAAGAGAGUCUCAUUAGUAAAAACCCUCACAGACACCAUAAGACAAUAGUGAGAUGAGGAAAAGACCCUUCAAGGCGUCACUAGCCGAAUGAGGUUUGAAUACAAUUGGCCUAAGAGAGCAACUUAGUUUCAAGGCCAUUAACUCAACAACAAUUGGUAGAAAGUUUGGAUGGAAAGAUCAGGUAGCUUAAUCCAAAAUGCAUGGCAUAAUCAUUAGAGUUGACUGUCAUGUCUAGAAAAAAAUUUUCAUUUCUUUGUUUUAAAUGGGAACACUCAUUGUCUUUUCUUUCUUCUCUUUAUUUUUAUUUUGUUUUCUUAAGUCAAUUAUCCAAAUAAAAGUCAUUGUCAUUUUUCUCUUGUCUUUGAGUCAAGUUCGUGUCAAAAUAAGUGAGAAAGAUUUCAAAACUGGCUACCAGCUUCUUCAAUUGCACAAAGAAAGACAAAAGGGCCAGCAAAUGCUAAAGACAUGAUUGAGAGCCAAAACAAGGCAUGCAGAAAGUUUUGUCAACCGACAAGUCUGGAAACUCAUGGAAAUACCAAGGUUCAAAGGGUUUGUCUAAGAAGCAUGACAAAGCAGGGAUAUUGUAUUUGUUUCAGAGUCACUCUUAAUAAUCUGAGUUUGGGUCAAUGAUACAGCAAGCCAGUGACACAUGCUAAUGGUUGAAAGCAAGAUUAAAUGUGACUGGGGCAAGAGCAAUUUCUAUGAAAGCCAAAGCCGCAAACUAGCCACCAUGUUUUUAAACUAAAAAUUUUUCUUUGUAUGAAAUAGGAACACAUGUUACCUUCGAAUCAAGGAUUUCAAAGCCUAAACAUCAAAAGUUGCAAUACCGCACUUUCACAAAUGAAGGAGACAAUAUUUUUGCAUAUAUUUGGUAUUCAAAGCCCUGGUAAAACUUAUAAUUAAAGAUUUCUAGGAGACACGCUUCCUUGUAAGGAGACGCACUUCCUUGGUUGGGUAAUUCAAACAACAUUUGUAAGGAAAUGCACUUCCUUGUUAGAGCAAUUCAAGAGACAUUUAUUAGGAGACAAUUCCUUGUUUAUGUAAUUCAAGCGAUGUUGGUAAGGAGAAUCACUUCCUUGUUUGGACAAUUCAAGCAACAUUUGUAAGGAGACACACUUUCUUAUUUUGGUAAUUGAAGCGCUAUCAUAAGGAGACGCACUUCCAAAGGAGACACACUUUCUUGUUUUGGUAAUUUAAGCAACAUUGGAGAUGCACUUCCUUGCUUAGGCAAUUCAAGCAAUAUUUGUAAGGAGAUGCACUUCCUUGUUUGGUUAAUUCAAGAAAUAUUUGUGAGGAGACGCACUUCCUUGUUUAAGUAAUUCAAGCGGCAUUGGUAAAGAGACGCACUUCCUUGGUUUGGUAAUUCAAGCGGCAUUGGGAAGGAGAUGUACUUCCUUGUUUUGAUAAUUCAAGCAACAUUUGUAAGGAGACGCACUUCCUUGUUUGAUAAUUCAAGUAACAUUUGUAAGGAGACUCACUUCCUUGUUUGGUAAUUCCAGCAACAUUUGUAGGGAGACGUACUUCCUUGUUUGGGUAAUUCCAGCAACAUUUGUAAGGGGACGCACUUCCUUGUUUAGACAAUUUAAGCAACAUUUGUAAGGAGAUACACUUCCUUAUUUUUGUAAUUCAAGCGCUAUCAUAAAGAGACGCACUUCCAAAGGAGACGCACUUUGUUGUUUUGGUAAUUCAAGCAACAUUGGAGACGCACUUCCUUGUUUAGACAAUUUAAGCAACAUUUGUAAGGAGAUGCACUUCCUUGUUUGGUUAAUUCAAGAAACAUUUGUGAGGAGACGCACUUCCUUGUUUGAGUAAUCCAAGCGAAAUUGGUAAGGAGACGCACUUCCUUGGUUUGGUAAUUCAAGUGGCAUUGGUAAGGAGAUACACUUCCUUAUUUUAAUAAUUCAAGAAACAUUGGUAAGGAGAUACAUUUUUUUGAUUGGGUAAUUCGAACUUUGCUUUUGGGUACUGCACUUCCUAGCAAUCCGCUUGAUUUCUAGAAAAUGCACUUUCUAGUCAAGUUAUUGCACUUAAUCCUUUGGAGAUGCACUUUCAUGCUAGUUUUCAUUUAUCAGGUAGCACACUUUUUAACUUAAACUUGUAUCUCUAGAAGACGCACUUUCUAGUUAGAAUCCCUCACUUUAAUUCUUAGGAGACGCACUUCCUAAUCUUGGUUAUUUAAUUUUACUCUCAAGAGAUGCAUUUCUUAGUCAGAGUCUUGAUUCAUCAUUGCAACAUGCAAGUAGGUAUGAUGUGACUUUUCGAAAAGUCUUCUGAUGAUGAACUUGGAAAAAAAUUUAAUUUCUAUUUUUAAAACUUUAGUUUUUUGGCAAACGGAAUUUCUCUUUAUAAUAAUAUUUGCUUGGGAUAAUUUUAUUUUUAGUUUUGAUGUGAUUUCAGGAGCCUGCCAAAGCACAGGGCGAAUAAAUGGAAAACUAAGCAACAAGGUGAAGAAAUUGAAAGUUAAACAGAUUGAAAAAUAGCAAGUCAGGAGCCUGCCUAUAGAACAGGCUGAAGAAGUUGAAAACAUGGCAACAAGUUGAUGAAAUAGCAAGUCAGGAACCUGUCUGGAGAACAGAGUGAAGAAAUUGAAAGGUAAGCAACAAGUUAAAGAAAUAGCAAGUCAGGAGUCUGCCUGAAGAAUAGGGUGAUGAAACUCAAGUCAAGAGUCCAAAAGAAGCUGUAUAGAUAGGAUUUUUGUAAUUUCAUUUAUGCUUUAACUUGUAAUUUUUAUUUUUAAUGUAAUGACAGAGCCGUGGACCAGAACCUCGAUGGAACUCACUCAACUCUCCAACUCGGUAUAGUCCAUCUCUUUCCAAUCUUUUGAAAUACCCGUGACUUGAUUCUCUCAUAACUUGGGUAGGUAGGAUGUCUUAAGUCAAGACUCGGUUGUCCUUCUUCCUUCUGUUUCUUUCUUUGAAUAAUGGUCGGGUCAAAAUUUGGUCUCGCUGUCUACUUCUUUGUCUGAAAAUACUGCGUGUUUACAUUCAAAGGGUCCAUGAUGUAGACACCUAAUUUUGUCCCUCCGAAGUCUAAUUUUAUUCAUUUUUAGUUCACCUUACCAUGUGUCCAACCCCAUGUAAUUAUAUCACACAAAAAUACAAAAAUAAACAAAAAAAAUACCUCUAACUAAUUUAUCUUAUCCUAACAACCUACCCAAUCAAAAGCUUCCACCUCCCUACUCACUCACAUUUCUUAUCCCUUGGAGAAGAAAACAACAAAAAAGAGAGGGACCCCAUUUUUCUUUCUCCUUUUUUCUCACCCACUUCAUCAUCAAUAUUGACCUCACACACAAAUACCCACUAGACGCACACACUCACCAUCUUCUUAGAUUAACACACAUACACUCAUGAAAAAUAGAUUGAGGUAGAGGGGGAAACAACGAUUGAGAACCAGUAAAAAUGGACGAAAGAUAGAGGGAUUCGAACGAAAAGGGUAGUGAGAGCUGAGAGAACACGAGUUUCGUGGUUUGUUAUUUCUUCGGCGACAGAUUCGCCAAAAACGCAUCUGAGCUAUCACAAAUCCAUUUAAAAAUCCAUCGGAUACGUCCUAACUAGUAUUUCCUUGUCGUUCGGUAAUCGCCAGAGUUAACCGGAGCUGAGGCAACGCAAAACCUUCGUGCAAACCUCGAUCUGCUUUCAAUUCCAUCCAAGCUUGUCAGAUUCUAAUUUAGGUUCUCUUAUUCUCAUGAUUGUCAGUUCGAGGUGGGGAUGGGUCCUUCAGAAUCCGAUCCGGAUUUCCUUGUUUUGCUAUUCUCAGUUCUGAGUUGGAAUGGUUCGUCACUGUUGAGGCUUGUCGGAGCUUCGUUUGAAGCCAUGACAGUCCAUCCCAAUGACCAUAGCACGGUUUAUCGGUGAAACUCGUAACUCCAUUGACGUGAAUGGUUUUGGGUUCGAUCGAGUUGGCGGUUUCAUGUUGAAUUCGUUGGUUGAGGUUCGAUCUGAGGUUCCGCUGCGGAUUUUAUCUCGUUUAAUCAGAUAAUACUUGAAAAUGGCAUUGAGGUCCAAUUCUACUCCUUCUCUUUUUUAUCUCGUCAUUUGUCAUGUUCAAUGCUUUGAAUUGGACAGACUGUGUUGGUUGAUCAGUGAUGAUAUGAAUUGUUGUUUGUUUUGAUUCGGUGCUUGAUUUAUUUAAUUAUGGAUUGAUUAUGAAUUAUGUGAUGAAAUAAUAUCUCAUGAAGGAUUAAAAUUGAUAGUUGGGGGUGGAACUGAGAAGUUGAUUAAAAGGGAUUAAUUUAGACUAACUUUGAUUUAUUAUUGCUUUGUUUAAAUUUGGAAAGCAUGAAUAUUGUCGGAACGUGAUAGUAUCAUGAUAGUCGGAUAGGCAAAUGUAGGUUCGGGUAAGCAAAUUUAGAACUUGUGUUUUGGUUGAAUGUUUGAAUAUGCGUGCGAAUAUUUCUUCCUAGUUUAUCGUAUUUAAUUCGAGUGUAUUCGUUUGGCUGGGGAAUGCCCCAAGGUUUCAUGUAUUUAUUCACCGGGGAAUGCCCCGAUGUAUUAUGUCUUCUAAGGAGGUUCGUGAUCAAGGCCCGAGGCAUCCAAUGAAGCAUUGGAGCUUAGUCUAGGACUAGCUUAGAAUAGGAUUUAUAUUUUUCGCAUUUUUCUAUUUUUGGAUUGUAAUAAUUGGACUGAACACUAUAAUUUUUUAUUUGUUUGUUUAUUUGUUUGAUUGAUUGGUUUGUAUGUUUUUAUGUGGUUUAUACACUCUUAGUGUCGAAUUAGCCGAUAUGUUCCACCAAGCGACCGUGGCCGAACCACGGGAUCGAGGGGUGCCUAACACCUUCUUCUCGGUCAACAGAAUUCCUUAGCUGGAAUAUCUGUUCGCAAACCAGUUUAAAGAGUCAUAUGGUUUUGAAAAGGAUUUUUCAAUGGUGACUUGGCACACCAGAUUAUGCCAAGUGGCGACUCUGAUUUCAAAUGUAAAAACAAUCCUUCUUCGAAACAAAUCAUUUUCUUUUGUGACUUAAUAAUAAAAACCCUUUCAAACCCAAAACGAAUCUUUUUCGGUUAAAAAAGGGGUGUGAAAGCUCUCCAAACAUUAUGUCAUCCUUUGUUUACCCUAUUUGAGCCUUAGUUCUAUUUUCUUUCAUACCUCUCUUUUGGAAUCAAGAUAGAGUCAACAAAGCUCAAAAGAAAAGUGUCAAGCAAAAAGAAUAGUGUCAGAAAAAUUUAAAAAAAAAAAAGAGAGAAAAAAAUGUGUCCAAAAAGAAAGAAAAGAGAAGAGUGUCAAGAAAAAAUGAGUCAAAAAAAUUCCAAAGAGAAAAAGAGUCAAUAAAAGAAAAAAAAUCAGAAUCAAGCACCAAAAUAAGUUGUCAGAACUAUGCGUGACCUGAUUCUCCUCUUUCGGAGGUAAGAUACGUAGGCUGCCUUACUCCAGGCUCGGUCCAACCAAAUAAAUAAUUUAGAAUUGCCCAGUCAGAAGAAACCGGGGCAUGGGUAAUCCUCAUUAUUUAAGUUGAUUUCAAAAGUUGUAAGUCCUACCUCAUUUUAAGUAUCCUUUGGGCCUCAUGUCAUCCUUUCUUUCUAACCUUAUCCAAAAGUCAAGUUACAACCAAAGAAAGACGUUCAGAUCAAUCUUUGAGAAUGUUAAGGCUAAGUAUGCAAUGGAUAUGAUGACGCAUUUUAGAAACUACUUGUCUUACUCAGCAUAAAGAAUCAGAAGAGAAAUAAAAAUGAGAGUCUUAUAGGUGAAAACCCUCACGUGCACCGUAAGAUGAUGGUAAGUUAAGAGAAAUAAAAAUGAGAGAGCUUUAUCGGUGAAAACCCUCACGGGUACCAUAAGACGAUGAUGAGUUGAAAGAAAUGAAAAUGGCAGAGUCUCAUUAGUGAAAAACCCUCGCGGACACCAUAAGACAAUGGUGAGCUGAGAAAAAGAAAAUGAGAAAGGCUUGUUGGCAAAAACCCUUUAAGGUAUCACUAGCCGAAUGAGGUCUUGAAUGCAAUUGACCUAAGGAAGAAACUUAGAUUCAAUACCAUUAACUGAACAACAACUGAUAGAAAGUGUGGAUGGAAAGAUCAGGCAGAUUAAUCCAAAAUGAAUGUCAUAAUCAUUAGAGUUGACUGUUAUUUUCAUAUAAGUUUUUCUUUUCUUUUUUUGAAAUGGGGACCUUCAUUUUAUUUAUUUUAUUUUCUUGAGUCAUUUAUUCAAAUAAAAAAUUAUUGUCAUUUUUCUCUUGUCUUUGAGUCAAGUCCAUGUCAAAAUAAGUGAGAAAAGAUUUCAAAACUGGUUACCAGCUUCUUUAAUUGCACAAAGCAAGACAAAGGGCCGGGACAUGAAAGAGACAUAAUUGUGAAAUGAAAUAAGGCAUUCAAAAAUUUUUGUCAACAAACGAGUCUGGGAAUUCGUGGAAAUACCAAGGUUUAAAAGGGAUUUUCUGAGAAACAUAGCAAAGCAAAGAUAGUGUGUUUAUUUCAGAGUCACUCUUAAUAGUUUGAGUUUGGACCAACGGUGCAACGAGGCAAUGACAAAUACUAAUUAUUAGAAGCAAGAUCUAAAUGGGACAAGUGCAAGAGAAAUCUCCUCAAAUGUCAAAUCUGCAAGCCAACCACCCUAUUUUAAUCUCAUAUGUUUUCUUUGAAUGAAACAGGAAUAGUUGUUUCCUUCAAAUCAAAGACUUCAAAUCCCAAAUAUCCAGAGGUGCAAUUCCUCAUUUCUGCAAAUACAAGAGCAGUGUUGCUGUACAGGUUUAGUAAUCACAAUUGCAGUAAAACUCAUCAUCUUGUACGCCUAAGAGACAUAUUUUCUAAUUUGGGUCUUUCAUGUCUCAUGGCUAGGAGGUGCACUUCCUAAUUUGAGCCUUUAAUCCUAAAAGAUGCACUUUUGGUAAGAACCUUUCACUUUUAAGAGAGGGCUUGUUGACCUCUGUCAUUCAAUUUUACCCUCAAAAAGUGCAUUUGUUGAUUAGAACCAUGACUCAUCUUUGCAUUAUACAUUGUUACAAGUAGUUGUUAUUGGGUUUGACACCCUCAAAAGCUUUUUAUGAUAAACUGGGGAAAAAGAAGAUUUAAUUCCUGAUAUUAGGAGCUUCACUUUAGGACCCUCCUAGCAAAAUGAGACUUUAUUUUUCUGAAAAAUAAAAUAUUUCUUUAUCAUAAUAUUUGUGUGGGAUAAUUUUCGUUGUAGUUUUGAUUUGGAUUUCAGGAACCCGCCUGAAGAAUAGGGUGACAAAAUUGCAAGUCAGGAGCCCACCUGAAAAACAGGGUGAGGAAAUUGAAAGAUGUUGAAAUUGAAUGUCGGGAGCUCGCCCGAAGAACAGAGUGAUGAAAUCGCAAGUCAAAAACCCACCUGAAGAACAAGGGUGACGAAAUUGAAAGUCGGGAGCUCGCCCAAAGAAUAAGGGCGAUGAAAUUGAAAUUCAGGAGCCUACUUGAAGAACAAGGGUGAUGAAAUUGCAAGUCAAGAGCCUGCCUGAAGAAUAGGGUAAUGAAAUUGCAAGUCAGGAGCCCACCUGAAGAACAAGGUGAUAAAAUUGCAAGUCAGGAGCCCGCCUGAAGAGCAGAGUAAUGACAUAGAAAGUCAGGAGCCCACCUGAAUAACAGAGUAAAGAAAUUGAAAGUCAAGCAAUAAGAUGAGAGAUUAAAAGUCAAGAACCAAGGUGAAGCAAUUGAAAUCCAAGCACUAAGGUGAAAAAAUUGCAAAAUAGGAGCCCGCCUGAAGAAUAAGGUGAUGAAAUUCAAGUCAAAAGUCCAAAAGAAGUUGCAUAGACGGGAUUUUUGUAAUUUAAUUUAUGUUUUAACUUGUAAUUUUCAUUUUUGAUGUAAUGACAUAACCACGGAUCAAAACCUCGAUGGAACCUUAAUUGACUCUCCAACUCGGUAUAGUCCUUCUCCUUCCCUUGGAGGUAUUUGUGAUUGGUUUCCUUCAUAACUUGGGUAGUUAGGAUGUCCUGAUGUAGACUCGGUUUCCCUCCUUCCUUCUGUUUCAUUCUCUUUAAAUAAUGGUCGGGAUAAAAUUUUGUCUCGUUGUCUACUUUUUUGUCUGAAAACACUUCGUGUUUACAUUCAAAGGGGGCAUGCUGUAGACACCUAAUUUUAUCCCUCCCAAAAUUGAAUUUUAUCUAUUUUUAGCUCACCUUACUAUACACCCUCACCCAUGUGAUUAUACACCACAAAAAUACGAAAAAUAACAACCCUUAACAAAAUUCCUAACAAAUUUUAUCUUGUUUUAAUCAUCCUAACAACCUACCCCUACCCACCUCCCUACUCACCACCCCACACCCCCUACCUGACCCCACUACCCCACACUACCUCACUAUUAUACAUCACACAAAGGGACAACAAAUACCACAUCACUAUAAUAAGAAUAUAGCAACAAACAAUAGGGAGGAUACACACAAAAGAAGCAGGGACUCCAUUUUUUUCUUCUGGCUUCUUCUCCAGAUGAUACACAUACAGAGAGCUACACCAUUGGCAUCUUCAUUCUUCUCCUCCAUAAUCCAUACACAACAACACUCACAGACGCAAGAAUUACACGCCCUCAUGCACACAGUAAAGGAGAGAAGAUAAAAAAUUAAGAGAGAGGGAGAGAGUAACAGAGAGAGAGAGAUUUAUAAAAAAAAAAAGAACUUAAGAGAUAUUGAGAGAGAGAUCGUGAGGGAGAGAAUACAGGAAAGAUCAAGAGAGGUAAAAGAGCAGCGAACAGAGGUUGGAUCGGAAAACAGUAGGGAAAAUCUGGCAAGCUCACCAGAAAUACCCUUUCACCGGUGAAACCCAUCUCGGAGACCCCAUUCUGUUGACUGUCGGGUCAGUCGGAGAUUUAUUGAGCUGCAAAUGGAAACCCAGCCAUGAUUCCAUCGGAAUUCGGUUACGGUUAGUUCAAAAAUUUGAGAGUUUGGGGUUCGUUUCAAAGUUCUCAUUCCGGUAUUAAAUAUGUGAGUUGGAUUUAUUCGUGACUGAGGUUCAAGUUGAGGUAUUUCGUAUGUGAAUUCUACCGGGUUAAUCGAAAUAAUACAUCGAUUUUGAAAGCGGCAUUGAGUUUCAAUUCUAUCUUCUCUCCCUUUAAUUUUUACGUGAAUGUGAAUGAUUUAUUGUUUGACACGUUUGAAUCUUUAUUUUGUGAUUGGUUGAUGUUGGAUUUGAAGUGGAAACUUGGAUUGGUAUCCGAAGAAUUGACGAAUUAUUUUGAGAAUGAAUGCGGGGAGGGAUUGAUCUCGAUAAGGCGAACUCGAAUUAAUUUUUUGUUCAUCGAUUGAACUGAUUUGAAAUGUUUAUUAAUAUCCUUGAAUGCGGUAGUAUCAUGGUUAAGUCGUUCAAUGAAUAUGCAAAGUUUAGGUUUGGAUAGGCAAAUUCAGGACUCGUGGAAUAUUGAAUGCUUGAAAUAUGUGUUGAUGACUUGGUUUUAUUGCUUUUGGAUCAAAUCGAUCAUUUGGCCGGGGAAUGCCCCGACAUAUCUGUGUUUAUUCACCGGGAAAUGCCCCAGAGUAUUUUGUACCGGGAAAUGCCCCAGAGUAUUUUGUACUCGAAGGACGUCCGUGACGAAGGCCCGAGGCAUCGGGUAAAGCAUUGGAGCAUAGUUUAGGAUUAGUGUAGGUUAGCGUAGGUUUACAUUUUUUGCAUUUUUCUAUUUUGGACUGUAUAAUUGGACUGGACAUUAUAUUUUUAGGAUUUGUGUUUGUUUGUUUGAUUGUUGUGUGUUUAUGUGGUUUAUACACUCUUAAUAUCGAAUUAGCCGAUAUACUCCACCAAGCGACCGUGGUCGAAUUACGGACCGAGGGAUGUCUAACACCUUCCCCCCGAUCAACAGAAUUCCUUAAUCGGAAUCUCUGUUCGCAAAUCAGUUUUAAAGAGUCAAACCAUUUUGAAAAGGACUUUCUAAAGGUGACUUGGCACACCAGAUUAUGCCAAGUGGCGACUCUGAAUUUAAUUGAAACAACAUGAAUUUUUUUACGAAACAAAUUUUUAUUUUGUCAAGUUGUUAAUAAAAAUUCUUUCGAACUUUAAAAAUCCAAUCUUUUUGGUUUAAAAAGGAGUGUGACAUUGUGUUGUUGUAGUUUACAUAUGGUAGGAAUAUCGUCGGUUUUGAGAAAAUUUUUUGUGUAAAGGUUAGAUUUAAUUAUAUUGUUUUGAAUCUCUAUUAUCGUAUUAUUUUAUUAUAGUUUACCGGGGGUAGAGGAAUCAUUCGGGACAUCAUCUUCUUUGUAUACUUUCACAAGUGACGAAGACUACAAAAAUAGUCAAUUACUCAAAAUAAUAGUCAGUUUUCUCUGCUUCUACCUUUCCUAGAAGUUGACUGGAAUAGGAUGGUUGUAGGUGUCAAAGGUGAAGUAGUGGUGAAGUACAUGUGCCAAAAGCACUCCACUAAAUAAACAUAUAUCAUCUGGAUGAAUGUAGUAAUUUAAGAUCACUUAUAUUCAUUGAUUAGUUAGCUUUAUUUCUGUUCUAGUUUGAUGAUGGUUCUUUUUGUAGCCCUAUUUUUCAAAGGAAGUUAUUUCUCUUGAGGAUGGAAGUAACUAUAGUUUUAAAUUAUUAGUGUAUGUCGUUUUAGAUCUUGUUAUUUAGUUGGUAAAAAAUAGUAAGAAUUUUGGUCAAUCAUUCGGCCAAAAAGUUGAACGACUUGAAAUGAAGACCUUCAAUAUGAAUAAUUAUUGGAUGCAUUAUUUCAUAUUUGUUAAAGAAAAAUAAUUAGUGGUAAAAUCACUUAAGAUAAUUUUCCACCACUUUGAGCUCCUUUAGAUUUAGAAGUCUUUUUUAUAAUAUUAAUUAAUUUCUGAUCAAUUAAUCAUUUAUAAGUCUAACUUGAACAUGUUAAAAGUAAUAACACCCUUAGAAAAUUGAUUUGAACUUUUUACCUUUCAUUAAAGACUUCACAAUAGAUAAAAUAGAUAAAAUUAUCUUUUCACUAUUUAAAAUUUACUACUCAUUUAAAUUUAGUUAUUAAACCUUUCCUAAACUAUACAACUUAAAUUUUGAACUUUAAAAUUAAUUAAAAUAUUACUGUGACUAAAUAUUCAAAAAGAAAGUCAAUUAGUUGAAAUGUGACAGUUAAGAAUACAAAUUUGUUGGAUUCUUUGGUAAAGCAAUAUAUAUUUCUUUUUGCAAAUAUAACAAAAAAUUUGUAUAGCUUUUGGUUUACUAUCGUUAAUUUUGGCUAAUUAAAGUUCUCUACCAUAUAAAAAUUGUCAUAGGAGUAAUAUGUUAAAAACCUAAUACAAAUCCUAUAUGAGUCAAAAAUUAAAUACGUUUCAAUUUAUGAAGUCCCUUUUUUGUCUCUGUUAAAACUUCUGUAGAAGAAGCUACAAUGUCAAUUUUUUCUUGAUAAAACAACCAUAACAACGAAAAAAGAAAAAAAGAUCAAGUGUAAAACACAAUAUAUUUGAGAUAUAAUAUUAUUUACAUAUCAUAUAAAUAGACAUAAAUUUUAUUUUAACGUCAAAAUUUUUAAAUAAUGUAGUUCUUGCAUAUAUAAUUUAAUUAAUUGAUGUGAUAUACACGUACAAAACACGUACAUUGAAUUAUCAUUGGAGUAAUAUGUUAAAAACCUAAUACAAAUCCUAUAUGAGUCAAAAAUUAAAUACGUUUCAAUUUAUGAGUUCCCUUUUUUUGUCUCUGUUAAAACUUCUGUACAAGACGUUACAAUGUCAAUUUUUUUUUGAUAAAACAAUCAUAACAACGAAAAAAGAAAAAAAGAUCAAGUGUAAAACACAACAUAUUUGAGAUAUAAUAUUAUUUACCUAUCAUAUAAAUAGACAUAAAAUUUAUUUUAACGUCAAACUUUUUUAAUAAUGUAGUUCUUGCAUAUAUAAUUUAAUUAAUUGAUGUGAGAUAUACGUGUAAAAUACGUACACUGAACUAGUAUAUUAUGUUAAGCCGUCGUUUAUUAAUGAAAAAACCCUUGAACAGGAGAUCCCUCUGUCUCCUCCUUUUUUUUUACCAAAAAAAAAAAAAAUACCAACACAAUAUAUAGUUGUUUUCUUUGAUCAUUUUUUUUUUUUCAUUUGAAGUCGUCCAUAAGAUGAUUUGUUAUGUAAAUUUUUUACUUGUUCCAAAAGAAUGAUAUUUUUUAAUGAGAUUAAUCACACAAAUAAUAGAAGUCAAGAGCAUGAUAUACACAAUAACCGCUGACCAGGGAAACAAACAGUAAAGAGUUGGUAUAUUUGAAGGAGUGUAACUUGUGAGGUUAUUUCUCUUAAUAUUUUAUAUUUUUAUUAAUAUAGUUUUUUUUUUAUGGAUAUAAAUCGAUUGAUCUAAUCAUGUUAAAUUCAUAUGUUUCUUUUGAUAUAUUUCUUUUUGGUUCUCUCAAUAUCGUCUUUCAUGAUUUGCUUUGUUAGUUUUGCAAACAUGACAAUUGAUUAUUUUAAUCCUUACAAUACUAUCUCAUGUUUAAAGCUAUAAAUUUGGGAUGUAAACAUUGUCUUAUAACCACACAAAUAAUAUAACAUAUUCAAAGAUAACAAACUACUUACCUUUUUCUCAAUAAAAAUAAAAAUGCAAAUUUCAAAACAUUAAAUUAAAAAAUAUCAGGUUGAGUCAAUUAUGUCAAACAAAUAAAAAUGAGUGGAGUGAUACUCAAUUGAUCAGUCACGUCAUUCCUUUUUUUUUCUUUCCCUUUGCAUUUCGAUGGUCAUAUAUUCAACAUUCAAAAAACUGGAUGUUCUAAAAAAUAUAUAUAUUUUUCAGAUUUAUUUUUCUAUUUUCUUAUAUUUUAUUAGUUAAAUUUUGUAGAAAUAUUGAUUUUAGGAAAAUUAGUUUUUUACAAAUAAGAAAAAUGAGUUUUCUAAUGGAAGUAGGGAAAAAAAGUUUCACACCUCUAACACACCUCAUCUUCACUUUCAUCCCGUCUUUCCUAUACAAUGUUUGGGUCCAGGUUAAACAAAUAUUUUUAGAAUAAUUAAUACUUAUCGCUUAUAUAUCAAACACAAGAAAAUAAAUAAAACGCACUUAGGCCCUAGCCAUAAAAAUUUGUUACUUUUUUUCGGAAGAAAUUUUUUCACUUUAUUUCAAAAUGACGUUUAGCCUUAAGAAUUGCAAAUACAACUUAGAAUUGUAUUUGGAAAAGUGAAAAUAAGUACUCCUCUCACAAAAAUUCAAAAACAACUCUACUUUAUAUUUAUUUUCAAACACAAAUCUAACUCCAACUUCAACUCCAACUCUAAUUUUAUUGAAGAUCAUUUUCCAAAAAAAAAAAAAAAGAAAACCAUUUUCUUUCCCACCGAACACACCCUUAGUAUUGACCAAUUGCCUCCAUUAUGCAGCAAUAUAAACUUACAAAUUAAGAGGAAUAGGUCGUCUCUUUUUAUUUAGUGAAGUAUUAUUGAUUUUGUUGACAAUAAGGGGGAUGAUUUUUGGUUGAAAUACUAACCAAAAAAAAUUAUUUUGGUUGAAAUAGUCAAUAACUUAUGGCCUAGCCAAAAGAAAAGAUACUUUCUGGGAAUCCGCUUUUGGUGAAAAGAUAGUGUAUGAAAUUCUUGAUUUUCAAGUCAAGUUAUUGCCUUGUAAGGAGUUCUUGUAUAAUACUCUCUCCGUUUCAGAAUAAGUGAAUUGUUGAAAUAUUUAUUGGUGUUUUAAAAUAAGUGAAUCAUUGAAAAUUUUUUUAAAUUUACCCUUAUGAUUUGACAACCAAUUUACUUUUGAUAAGGUAUUACAAGGUCAGUUUUUUUUUUUUGGGGUAAAAAUAAAAAAUUAUGUUAAAUUUAUAUUUUUAAUAUUUUUUUUUUAAUUUGUGUGUCAAAAUUUAAUAAUUUAUUUAUUAUGAAAUGAAUGGAGCAUGUAUAAUGGUCAAAGAUUAAAAACUUUGUCCAUGUGAUAUUUGCCCAUGUGUAAUUUUCAUUAAUAUACUAUAUACUUUCUUCCCCUCGUGGAGCAUGGACCACUAGUAAUUUUUAAUCAUGAAUAUUGAAGCUAAACUAAUUUCCAUAUCAUUCAUCAACAUUGUAAUUUUAUUUUUAGGUACUUAAAUGAUAACUAGAAAACAUCACAGAAAGUAAUUAGGAAAGUGAUAACAUUUUUGGGGACAAACUAAUUAGGAAUUGAGAAGAAGGAAAUAAUGAAUAAAUCAGAUAAAAGAAAGUAACAUAUAUUCACUUGUAAUUAAUUUAAACUACCCUCAAAUAUAGCAUGAUUUUUAUUUUUAUUUUUAUUUUUUUUACAAAAAAUAGAGAAUAUUAAGAUAUAAUACGGUAUCAAAUAUGAUUACAUGUCUUGAUGUGACUUGAUCAGUUCCGUUUUUAUAUUGAUCCGUAACUCAAACAUUAGUCACCAAAAAGGAUUAUUUCAACCCAUACAAAUCACCAUAAAAGUAUGUGGUGCGGUUGAUGAGACUACUCUUCCUUUAAUCAGAGAUUUCGAUUUUGAGUCUUAGAUAUGCAAAAUUUUUGAGUACCGAGUGCUUCCCUAGAAGGAAUCCUACGGACUACAUGAUGCGAAUUUAAAUUCAUCGAACUUUAAUGUCAGUACUGGACACCGAAUGAAACAAAUUAUAAAAAUGUGUUGUCAAUCGUGGCUAACUUGACUAAAAACUAUUUUUUUUUUCUAUCUACCUAAUAUAAUUCUACAAACCGCAAUUAAUUAAGAGCUAUUCAAUUGAGGAGGAUGACCGCCAAGCUAAAAUCGUCAAACCCAAGACACCAAGGUACAAUUGGGACUAAGACUUGUUCAAUUCCUUUCUUGUAUAUGUUCUCUAUGACAUACUCAAACAAGUCUAAUAUAUUUUUACUAUUCUUUUUGUAUUUUAUGUUAACGUACGAGUGCCAUUUUUCACUCUAUUACCCAUUUCAUAACUUCUUUAGCUCAUCUAUUUCGCUCGUCAAAUACAAUGCUCUAUCUUAUUAUCAUCUAAUUACCAUCAUGUACUUUCUUUCCUUCGGAGUCCGACUAUUCAUUCAUACAUGAAAUGGUUGUAUGUAUGGUGAACUUUGAUUGCCGGUGUUAUAAUGGAUUUAAAAACUAUUUUAAUGGGACGAUCUAGAGCUAGCAUUCGAGUAGGUUUGCAAAAAUCAAUUAGUUUUUGCAUAGACUUUCUCUAUAUAAGCAUCUAAAAAAAAAAUUAAAUAGCUAUAAAUAUUUCACUUUAAACUCAAUUAUUAUCACAUAAUAACUCUAGGUCACAAUAGGAAUCCAUAGACUUUAAUCCUGAAUUUGGCUCGCAGUCACUAAUCUACUCCCCUCUCUUCUCAUCCCUUGAUCCCUAUAUAAUAUAGGGCGAAAUAUAUAGUUGGCUGAUGAUCCCGAGAUUGCAGCCACAGUGUCUUUUUCUUUUUAAAUUAGUUAAAAUCAAAUAGAAUAACAUCUUUUUAUAUUAAGGAAUAAUUUAAUUUAAAACAUUUCCUUUAAUGAUGUGAUUUUGUAAUCAUACAACAACAACCUACUCAAUAUAUUUCCAUUAAGUGAGGUCGUGAAAGGGUAAGUGUACCCACUAAUUAAAACUUUUAGUUUCUUUCUUAAACUUACAUGUCCACAUUUUUUUAAGCACUAGUUCAGGUGUACGCACCCCACUUUAUUAAAUUUAAACGUUACACUAAAUAAGAUAUUUGUUUAAAUAAUAAAGAUGAAUACAAUAAUUAAAUUCAACAUCUUUUGAAGAAUUUAAUUAAUUAAAUCUAACCUUUAUCAAAGC
rnacentral:lncRNA from 1 species